rnacentral:rRNA from 1 species
AGAGUUUGAUCAUGGCUCAGAAUGAACGCUGGCGGCGUGCCUAACACAUGCAAGUCGAACGAGAAAGUCCUUCGGGAUGAGUAUAGUGGCAAACGGGUGAGUAACACGUGAAUUAUCUGCCCUUUAGUGAAGAAUACCCUCGAGAAAUCGAGGUUAAUACUGCAUAAGCCUGAGGUAAAACUUAGGGAAAGCUGGCCUCUUUGCUAGCGCUGAAGGAUGAGUUUGCGGUCUAUUAGCUAGUUGGUAGGGCAAAGGCCUACCAAGGCAAUAAUGGAUAGCCGGCCUGAGAGGGUGUACGGCCACAUUGGGACUGAGAUACGGCCCAGACUCCUACGGGAGGCAGCAGUGGGGAAUAUUGCGCAAUGGGGGAAACCUUGACGCAGCGACGCCGCGUGGAGGAUGAAGGUCUUCGGAUUGUAAACUCCUGUUAAGUGGGAAGAAAUGGCAAAAUUUAAUACAUUUUGCAGCUGACGGUACCACUAGAGAAAGCACCGGCUAACCUCGUGCCAGCAGCCGCGGUAAUACGAGGGGUGCAAGCGUUAUUCGGAGUUACUGGGCGUAAAGAGCGCGUAGGCGGCUUGUUAAGUUGGUUGUUAAAGACCCCGGCUCAACCGGGGAAGUGCAGCCGAUACUGGCGAGCUAGAGGGCAAGAGAGAGAGGUGGAAUUCUCGGAGUAGCGGUAAAAUGCGUAGAUCUCGAGAGGAACAUCAGUUGCGAAGGCGGCUUCUUGGCUUGUUUCUGACGCUAAGGCGCGAAAGCGUGGGGAGCAAACAGGAUUAGAUACCCUGGUAGU